AGUGAACGCUGGCGGUAGGCCUAACACAUGCAAGUCGAACGGCAGCACAGGAGAGCUUGCUCUCUGGGUGGCGAGUGGCGGACGGGUGAGGAAUACAUCGGAAUCUACCUUUUCGUGGGGGAUAACGUAGGGAAACUUACGCUAAUACCGCAUACGACCUACGGGUGAAAGUGGGGGACCGCAAGGCCUCACGCGAUUAGAUGAGCCGAUGUCCGAUUAGCUAGUUGGCGGGGUAAUGGCCCACCAAGGCGACGAUCGGUAGCUGGUCUGAGAGGAUGAUCAGCCACACUGGAACUGAGACACGGUCCAGACUCCUACGGGAGGCAGCAGUGGGGAAUAUUGGACAAUGGGCGCAAGCCUGAUCCAGCCAUACCGCGUGGGUGAAGAAGGCCUUCGGGUUGUAAAGCCCUUUUGUUGGGAAAGAAAUCCUAUCGGUUAAUAACCGGUGGGGAUGACGGUACCCAAAGAAUAAGCACCGGCUAACUUCGUGCCAGCAGCCGCGGUAACAC
rnacentral:rRNA from 1 species